AAUGGGGGGCAGCCUGAUCUAGCCAUGCCGCGUGAGUGAUGAAGGCCUUAGGGUCGUAAAGCUCUUUUGGUGGGGAAGAUAAUGACGGUACCCAGUAAAGAAACCCCGGCUAACUCCGUGCCAGCAGCCGCGGUAAUACGGAGGGGGUUAGCGUUGUUCGGAAUUACUGGGCGUAAAGCGCGCGUAGGCGGACUGGAAAGUUGGAGGUGAAAUCCCGGGGCUCAACCUCGGAACUGCCUCCGAAACUGUCAGUCUAGAGUUCGAGAGAGGUGAGUGGAAUUCCGAGUGUAGAGGUGAAAUUCGUAGAUAUUCGGAAGAACACCAGUGGCGAAGGCGGCUCACUGGCUCGAUACUGACGCUGAGGUGCGAAAGUGUGGGGAGCAAACAGGAUUAGAUACCCUGGUAGUCCACACCGUAAACGAUGUUUUCCAGUCGUCGGGUAGCAUGCUAUUCGGUGACACACCUAACGGAUUAAGCAUUCCGCCUGGGGAGUACGGUCGCAAGAUUAAAACUCAAAUGAUUUGACGGGG
rnacentral:rRNA from 1 species